CUUCCUUCGUAGGAGUGCUAGCACGCAUCGAAGGCUCUCGAUGGCUGAUCCAAGCUCUUUUCUUUAGAUCUUCCAAACUCUUUCAGAUUAGAAGAAGAAACUUUACAAGAAGGUAGUAGUGUGAAAGAUUGAACAAGACUUACUCUUGUAUUUUUCUUCUCACAAAAUCUAGAGUUGAAACCCUAGACCCUACACCUCACGCCC
rnacentral:lncRNA from 1 species